UGAGGAAUAUUGGUCAAUGGGCGAGAGCCUGAACCAGCCAAGUAGCGUGCAGGAUGACGGCCCUAUGGGUUGUAAACUGCUUUUAUGUGGGGAUAAAGUGCGUGACGUGUCAUGCAUUGCAGGUACCACAUGAAUAAGGACCGGCUAAUUCCGUGCCAGCAGCCGCGGUAAUACGGAAGGUCCGGGCGUUAUCCGGAUUUAUUGGGUUUAAAGGGAGCGAGGCUGUCUAUUAAGCGUGUUGUGAAAUUUACCGGCUCAACCGGUGGCUUGCAGCGCGAACUGGUCGACUUGAGUAUGCAGGAAGUAGGCGGAAUUCAUGGUGUAGCGGUGAAAUGCUUAGAUAUCAUGACGAACUCCGAUUGCGCAGGCAGCUUACUGUAGCAUAACUGACGCUGAUGCUCGAAAGUGCGGGUAUCAAACAGG
rnacentral:rRNA from 1 species